rnacentral:snoRNA from 1 species
AGCUGUGAUGAUCAUCGCUUUCUUCUGACACCUCUUGUAUGAGAAGUGUGCCUUGAGUGGCGCACUUCGUUGAGCAGAGUAUAGCAAAUGUCUGAGCU